ACUCAUACUCUGUCUACUCUAUCAAAAUAAUAAGAACUAUAUUCAUCGUGGAGAAGAAAGCUAAAGCUGAAGGCAAAACGGGAAUUGGUGGAUCUCAAGAAAACCAACCUAUACCUCAAGCGUCCACUUCAGCUACCAAUAAACCAAAGAAGACAACAGCGUAUAUGACUAACGUCAUCCAUGGCGACACUGAGAACUUUCCUCUCAUAAUUGAGAAAGUAAAUGCUGCUGAAGCAUCCAAAGGAUCAGUUGGAAGGCAAGCUCGACAGGAACGGCUACUUAUCCGCGCAGCAAAGCGUGGAGAGCAACCAAAACAAGGCAUGUUCCAGUAAAUUACUCUACUCUUUGUAAAGUUCUUGCGUGAUUAACCUAUGCUCAUCACACCGUUAGUUGACUGUGCAUGAGAAGUAAGUUCCGAAAUGGAUGCACAUAUGAUUGAGGCUUUCUCAGUACCAGCAGUUGCAACUUCAAGUGCAGACACUCGAGGGAAGUUCAGACGCACAACCUGUAUAUAAGUGGGAUUUAACGAUGAAGUACUAUUUACUUUUCUGGUCAUAAUUUUCAAAAACAUUAUAUAAAUGUUUUUAUCAUUUCGUAACAUUUUCGUUUCUCAGAAUUUGUUUCUUACCAAUAAAAAGGUGAUUUAUUUCCAUUAGGAACUGACUCGAUAACACUCUUAGCCAACUUCAGUACAAUAAAAUUUUAGCCAUCGAUGAUCCACAUGCUCUCAGAAUUUUUAAAAUUAGACAAACUCAAACAACAAAACUUUCUAAAGGACAAAACGUUAAUUACCUAAAUCAAAUUGUUUCAAAUGCAAAAAAAAAUGAAAACAAAAUUUAUCAUUGCUUUAUUUACACUUCAAAAUAUUAAAAUGUUAUUCCGCCAUUUAGCACCUAAGUCUACACCUAUACUUGUACUAUACACAAAACAACCAUCAGCGGAAAUUAAAAAAAAUUGCCUGCUGACUUCAAAAAUAAUUAUAACUUAA